UACGAAGGGGGCUAGCGUUGUUCGGAAUUACUGGGCGUAAAGCGCACGUAGGCGGAUAUUUAAGUCAGGGGUGAAAUCCCGGGGCUCAACCCCGGAACUGCCUUUGAUACUGGGUAUCUUGAGUAUGGAAGAGGUAAGUGGAAUCGCGAGUGUAGAGGUGAAAUUCGUAGAUAUUCGCAGGAACACCAGUGGCGAAGGCGGCUUACUGGUCCAUAACUGACGCUGAGGUGCGAAAGCGUGGGGAGCAAACAGG
rnacentral:rRNA from 1 species